UUUUUUUUUUCUUUUUCUUUUUUUUUUUUUUUUUUCCCCCCGGGGUUUGGGGGGUUUUUU
rnacentral:ribozyme from 1 species